rnacentral:tmRNA from 1 species
GGGGAUGAUCGGUUUCGACGGAAGUGGUUGGUACCGAAUUGCAAGCCGAGAGGCGCCGAACUCGUAAAAUCAGCGCACCAUGAUAAGUGCCAAAAGCACUGACUAUGCGGCUCUCCCUCUCGCGGCCUAGCCACGUAGGAUAGAGCCUCGGCCUUGAUUACAAGGCCCGCCUCCUUCCACCUUCCUUGACCGGUGGGAGUACAGGCGACAGAGCGUCAGGGUGCCACGCGGAAAGCCACGAGCCGCGUGUAAGAUGAGCUCUCGGGCUCCAGUGGCUGGCCCCAAGGAUUGCCUGUUGAUCGGCUACCGGACGGGCGAGACACAAAUAGAUCAACUACGCUUGUAGAUGUUCGGUAACUGAAGCUUUCGGACGCGGGUUCGAUUCCCGCCAUCUCCACAA